CCCCUCAGGCGGCGGCGGCGACGCGCGCGGGUAAGAAGUGGGCGGGGAACGCGGUCGGUGGCGCUGCGGGGCUGAGGGAGAGGCGGAGGGGGGGGCGGAGGGGGGCGGAGGGAGGGGCGGAAAGAGCAGAGGGAGGGGCACAGGGGGCUGAGGAGUGCUGGGUCGGGCUUCCAGCUCCCUACAACGCAGACCAGUACUGGAGUUCGUGGUGCUGGAAGACCGCCGCCCGACUCUGGGCCCCGGGUAGGAAACAACAAUUUCGGACCUCCUGGGGUCUAUGCUAGGUAUGAGGUGUAUCUUUGCCCUCCAUCAAGUAGCAAAGAUGGACAUGUAAACAAAUUUCGACACUGUGAUGACUGCCACAAAAAGCAGCAUUAUGAGGUUGAAUGUAAAAGGAUAACCUUAGCGGCGGCGGGGGCCGGAGGAUGAAGGAAGGCUUCCUGAGGUAGGCGCUGGUUGAAACUGAAGUUGGAGAGAGCAAGUGGCAUUUGCUGAAGUGCAUUUCCGGUAGAAAACUCCAGUGGUCCCUCACCUGACUGAGUGGCGCAGUCAGAGAUAAAUGGAACAGGUACACUGACCAGAAAGGGCAAGAUGGGCUAAACUUCGCCGUUGGGCCACUGGGCUCCCCCGCAGGAUUUUAAAGAGCUAGCCAGUAGAUGGAUUUUGUUUUUGUUAUUUUCGCAAUUUAUUUUCAAAUAUGUAAUACGCGAACUUGGUACAACAUUCAUGUGAUAAAAAGGUAGAUACGUGGGCAGGACGCGGUGGCUCACGCCUGUAAUCCCAGCAUUUUGGGAGGCCGAGAUGGGCGGAUCAUUUGCUGUCAGGAGUUCGAGACCAGCCUGGCCAACAUGAGUCUACAAAUAAACAUUUUAUAAAGAUGAUCCUUCAAUACAUAUUCUACAGCCCAGUUAAAAUGUGAGAGGCCAUGAUCUACAGACAGCCAUUUAUAAAGGUGGAUCAGGGCCGGACACGGUGGCUCAACGUCUGUAAUCCCGGCACUGUGGGAGGCCAAAGCGGGAGGAUCGCUUGAGCCCAGGAGUUCGAGACCAACCUGGCCAACAUGGUGAGACCCCAUCUUUACAAAAAAAUAUAUAUAUCCAGGCAUAGUGGUGUGCACCUGUGGUCCUGUGGUCCCAGCUACUCAGGAAGCUGAGGCAGUUGAGGCUGCAGUGAGCCACGUUCUGGCCACUACACUCCAGCCUGGGCAUCAAAGUGACAAGACCAAAAAAAAAAAAAAAUGUGGAUUGGAAGGAGGCAAGAAAGAAGUCAGGAAAAGGGUGGAAUGUAAGUCCCUAAGGACACAAUCUUACUCACAAUUGUAUCUCCAACAUUUGGCAUAAUGCCUAAUACGUAAGUAUUUUAUGAAUUAAUUAAACGAGAACACAAGCCUAAAUUAAGGCAAUGGCAAUGGAGAAGAAGAAACCAACUUGAGAAAUAUUUAAAGGUCAUUGUCAAUGGAACUUAGUGACUUUAAUGGUUAAUUUUAUCUAUCAACUUGGCUAGGCGAUGCUACCCAUGUUACUCAGUUUUUGGUCAAACACUAGUCUAGUUGUUGCUAUGAAUUGUAUUUGUUAGAUGUGAUUAACAUUUAAAUCAGCAGACUUUGAUUAAAGUACAUUACCCUCUAUAAUGAGGGUGGGCCGCAUCCGGUCAGUUCAAAUUAAAACGAGACCCUUAAGAAGAAGCAAUUCAGCCUCCAGACUGCAGCGUCAAAUCUCCCUGGGUCUCCAGGCUGUUUGUCUGCCCUGCAGAUUUCAGACUUGCCAGCUCCCAGAAUAAUGUGAGCCAAUUCCUUAAAAUAAAUCUCUUUCUGCAUAUACACAUCCUAUUGAUUCUGUUUCUCUGGAGAACCCGUACUAAUAUAGUGUCUGACUAGAUAUGAAGGAGGAGGGGAAGGGAGAAAUAGAUAGACGAUGCCUUUGGAUAUUGAGUGACACUUAUCUAGUUGCUUAAGUCAAAAACCUGAAAACUGGUUAGGCACGCCUAUUACGGGCUCACGCCUGUAAUCCCAGCACUUAGGGAGGCUGAGGCAGGCAGAUCAUUUGAAGUAAUUCAAGACCAGCCUGGCCAACAUGAUGAAACCCCAAGACCACUAAAAAUACAAAAAUUAGCCGGGCGUGGUGGCACAUGCCUGUAACCCCAGCUCCUCAGGAGGCUAAAGCAGGAAAAUUGCUUGAACCCAGGAAACAGAGGUUGCAGUGAGCCGAGAUUGUGCUACUCCACUCCAGCCUGGGAGAGACUCCAUCUGAAAACAAACAACAAAAAAAAAUGCUGGGCACAGUGGCUCACGCCUGUAAUCCCAGCACUUUAGGAGGCUGAGGCGGGCGGAUCACCUGAGGUCAGGAGUUCAAGACCAGCCUGGCCAAUGUGGCAAACCCCAUCUCUACUAAAAAUAAAAAAAAAAUUAGCUGGGCAUGUUGGCGGGCACCGUAAUACCAGCUACUCGGGAAGAUGAGGCAGGAGAAUCACUUGAACCGGGAGGCAGAAGUUGCAGUGAGCUAAGAUCGCGCCAUUGCACUUUAGCCUGGGCGACGAGCGAAACUCCCUCUCAAAAAAAAAGAAGAAGGCUGGGCGCGGUGGCUCAUGCCUGUAAUCCCAGCACUUUGGGAGGCCGAGGUGGGUGGAUCACUUGAGGUCAGUAGUUCGAGACUAGCCUGGACAUGGUGAAACCUGUCUCUACUAAAAAUACAAAAAUUAGCCAGGUAUAGUGGCUCAUGCCUAUAAUUCCAGCUACUUGGGAGGUUGAGGCAGGACAAUGGUUUGAACCCAGGAGGCAGAGGUUGUAGUGAGCUGAGAUUGUGCCACUGCACUCCAGCCUGGAUGACACUCUAUCAAAAAAAAAAAAAAGAAAAGAAAAAAAAAAAAAAACUGGGGCAUGUGGGUUGAAGGUGCUAUGGAAAAAUUCAUGGGCUAUGUGUAUGCAGCAUUGUUUUCAAAGCAGAAAUUGAGAAUUUAUUUAUAGUGGUGUGCAUACUGCUUUUUCAAAUGAGGAAACAGGAAAACAAGGUUCUAGACCUAUGUAUUAGGGACUUCCUUUAGUCUGUAAAACUUGUGCCAGGCGUGGUGGCUCACACCUGUAAUCCCAGCACUUUGGGUGGCUGAGGCAGGUGGAUCACCUGAAGUCAGGAGUUCCAAGACCAGGCUGGCCAACCUGGUGAUACCCCCGUCUCUACUAAAAAUACAAAAAAAUAGCCGGAUGUGGUGGUGCACUCCUGUAAUCCCAGCUAUUUGGAAGGCUGAGGCAGGAGAAUCGCUUGAACCCAGGAGGCAGAGGUUGCAGUGAGCCAAGAUCAUGCCACUGCACCCAGCCUGGGCAACAGAGCGAGUCUCUGUCUCAAAACAAACACACAAAAAAACUUGUGAUUCACAGGUUAGUCUCUAGGGGAGCUCUAUAAUCACAAAGACAGUGACAGUAUUCCCAUUUUACAGAUGAGCAGACUAGGUAAUCAAUGUUUCUUAACAAAUUAACAUUAAAACUUCUGUCAGGAAGUUCCAGGCCAGGCACAGUGGCUCACAUCUAAAAUGCCGGCACUUAGGAAGGCUGAGGCAGGAGGAUCACUUGAGCUCAUUUCAAGACCAGCCUGGGCAACAUGGCAAGACUCCAUCUCUACAAAAAAUAAAAAAUUAGCUGGGCAUGGUGGCACACACCUGUA
rnacentral:lncRNA from 10 species